UGAAUUUGUGCCUAUGCAUAGCCUUAUCGUU
rnacentral:piRNA from 1 species